AUUGAACGCUGGCGGCAGGCCUAACACAUGCAAGUCGAACGGUAACAGGAAGCAGCUUGCUGCUUCGCUGACGAGUGGCGGACGGGUGAGUAAUGUCUGGGAAACUGCCUGAUGGAGGGGGAUAACUACUGGAAACGGUAGCUAAUACCGCAUAACGUCGCAAGACCAAAGAGGGGGACCUUAGGGCCUCUUGCCAUCGGAUGUGCCCAGAUGGGAUUAGCUAGUAGGUGGGGUAACGGCUCACCUAGGCGACGAUCCCUAGCUGGUCUGAGAGGAUGACCAGCCACACUGGAACUGAGACACGGUCCAGACUCCUACGGGAGGCAGCAGUGGGGAAUAUUGCACAAUGGGCGCAAGCCUGAUGCAGCCAUGCCGCGUGUAUGAAGAAGGCCUUCGGGUUGUAAAGUACUUUCAGCGGGGAGGAAGGGAGUAAAGUUAAUACCUUUGCUCAUUGACGUUACCCGCAGAAGAAGCACCGGCUAACUCCGCG
rnacentral:rRNA from 1 species